rnacentral:rRNA from 1 species
ACAGCAGCCGCCGCGGUAACACGGAGGGUGCAAGCGUUAUCCGGAUUUAUUGGGUUUAAAGGAUCCGUAGGCGGACCUGUAAGUCAGUGGUGAAAUCUCAUAGCUUAACUAUGAAACUGCCAUUGAUACUGCAGGUCUUGAGUGAAUUUGAGGUAGCUGGAAUAAGUAGUGUAGCGGUGAAAUGCAUAGAUAUUACUUAGAACACCAAUUGCGAAGGCAGGUUACCAAGAUUCAACUGACGCUGAGGGACGAAAGCGUGGGGAGCGAACAGGAUUAGAGACCCCUGUAGUCCCUGUCUCUUAUAC